UUCACCUGUUGUGAUGGAAAACUACACAAUGGGCCGAGGCUGUCCUGCUGCGGAAGCAAUGCCUUCAGCAUCACCCAGGCUUCUUGUUGUCAAGGUCAGCUGACUGUUAAUGUGAGCCAGCUUGUGUCAGAUUGCUGCGGGUACAAAGCCUACGACCCACUCAACUAUCUGUGCUGUAACACACGGAUACUUAAAAGGAACAAACCCUAUUCCAAGUGUUGUGGAAAAGAGGUUUUUGACAGUCACCAGCUUUGCUGUGGAGUGGAAAAGAUAGUCCUGACCAAAAUCUCCAGUAACCACAAGUGUUGUGGAAACC